rnacentral:rRNA from 1 species
AUUGGACGCUGGCGGCAUGCCUUACACAUGCAAGUCGAACGGUAACAGGUCUUCGGACGCUGACGAGUGGCGAACGGGUGAGUAAUACAUCGGAACGUGCCCAGUCGUGGGGGAUAACUACUCGAAAGAGUAGCUAAUACCGCAUACGAUCUGAGGAUGAAAGCGGGGGACCUUCGGGCCUCGCGCGAUUGGAGCGGCCGAUGGCAGAUUAGGUAGUUGGUGGGAUAAAAGCUUACCAAGCCGACGAUCUGUAGCUGGUCUGAGAGGACGACCAGCCACACUGGGACUGAGACACGGCCCAGACUCCUACGGGAGGCAGCAGUGGGGAAUUUUGGACAAUGGGCGAAAGCCUGAUCCAGCAAUGCCGCGUGCAGGAUGAAGGCCUUCGGGUUGUAAACUGCUUUUGUACGGAACGAAAAAGUCUCCUCUAAUACAGGAGGCCCAUGACGGUACCGUAAGAAUAAGCACCGGCUAACUACGUGCCAGCCGCCGCAGUAAGAC